AUCAUUAGCCAAUCACCAAAGUGG
rnacentral:siRNA from 1 species